AUCUGGUUGAUCCUGCCAGAGGCGACCGCUUUUGGAGUUCGAUUAAGCCAUGCGAGUAGAAUGAAUUAGAUUCAUUGCAAACUGCUCAGUAACACGUGGAUAACCUGCCCUAUGCUCUGGAAUAACCUCGGGAAACUGAGAAUAAUACCGGAUAGAUCACAACGCCUGGAACGGUGUGUGGUUCAAAGAUUACGGCAUAGGAUGGGUCUGCGGCGUAUCAGGUCGUAGGGGGUGUAAUGGACCCCCUAGCCAUCGACGCGUACGGGUGUUGGGAGACAUAGCCCGGAGACGGAUUCUGAGACACGAAUCCGGACCCUACGGGGUGCAGCAGGCGCGAAAACUUCACACUGCAGGAAACUGUGAUGAGGGAACUCCAAGUGGAUGCACAUAGUGUAUCUCUUUUCUUUACUAUUAAUCGGUAUUGGAAUAAGGGCUGGGAAAGACCGGUGCCAGCCGCCGCGGUAAUACCGGCAGCUCGAGUGGUCGUCGCUUUUAUUGGGCCUAAAACGUCCGUAGCCGGUUUGGUAAAUCUGUGGGUAAAUCAACUAGCUUAACUAGUUGAAUUCUGCAGAGACUGCCAGACUAGGAACCGGGAGAGGUGUGGGGUA
rnacentral:rRNA from 1 species